rnacentral:rRNA from 1 species
CUGAUGCAGCCAUGCCGCGUGUGUGAAGAAGGUCUUCGGGUUGUAAAGCUCUUUYAUUAGGGAAGAAMGGAUGUGUAUUUAUAYAUGCUUGUCGUGACGKUACCUACASAGAAAGCCCCGGCUAACUCCGUGCCAGCAGCCGCGGUAAU